GGGUCAGUAGGUUGGUCGUGCCACCGGUACGUACUGGUCUCACUGAUUCCUCCUUCCUGAGGAACCGUAAUGCCGUUAAUUUGGUGUUGCGGGGAAACAGGACUGUUACUUUGAAAAAAUUAGAGUGUUUAAAGCAAGCUAACGCUUGAAUACAUUAGCAUGGAAUAAUGAAAUAGGACGAUCGAUCCUAUUUUGUUGGUUUCUAGGAUUGACGUA
rnacentral:rRNA from 1 species